rnacentral:piRNA from 1 species
UGCAAGACAAGUCCGUAUUCUUAACCACUC